UGGGGAAUUGUUCACAAUGGGCGCAAGCCUGAUGACGCAACGCCGCGUGGGGGAUGAAGGUCUUCGGAUUGUAAACCCCUGUCGAACGGGACGAAAGACCCGGGAGCUAAUCAUCCCGGGAGUGACGGUACCGUUAAAGGAAGCCACGGCUAACUCUGUGCCAGCAGCCGCGGUAAUACAGAGGUGGCAAGCGUUGUUCGGAAUUACUGGGCGUAAAGGGCGAGUAGGUGGCCAUCUAAGUCAGACGUGAAAUCCCCCGGCUUAACCUGGGAACUGCGUCUGAUACUGGACGGCUAGAGUUUGGGAGAGGGAUGCAGAAUUCCAGGUGUAGCGGUGAAAUGCGUAGAUAUCUGGAGGAAUACCGGUGGCGAAGGCGGCAUCCUGGACCAACACUGACACUGAAUCGCGAAAGCUAGGGGAGCAAAC
rnacentral:rRNA from 1 species